CAACUGGAGAAAAAGCUCUCGAAAGGCCUG
rnacentral:piRNA from 1 species